AGUGAACGCUGGCGGUAGGCCUAACACAUGCAAGUCGAACGGCAGCACAGUAAGAGCUUGCUCUUACGGGUGGCGAGUGGCGGACGGGUGAGGAAUACAUCGGAAUCUACUUUUUCGUGGGGGAUAACGUAGGGAAACUUACGCUAAUACCGCAUACGACCUACGGGUGAAAGCAGGGGAUCUUCGGACCUUGCGCGAUUGAAUGAGCCGAUGUCGGAUUAGCUAGUUGGCGGGGUAAAGGCCCACCAAGGCGACGAUCCGUAGCUGGUCUGAGAGGAUGAUCAGCCACACUGGAACUGAGACACGGUCCAGACUCUUACGGGUGGCAGCAGUGGGGAAUAUUGGACAAUGGGCGCAAGCCUGAUCCAGCCAUACCGCGUGGGUGAAGAAGGCCUUCGGGUUGUAAAGCCCUUUUGUUGGGAAAGAAAAGCAGCAGGUUAAUACCCCGCUGUUCUGACGGUACCCAAAGAAUAAGCACCGGCUAACUUCGUG
rnacentral:rRNA from 1 species